rnacentral:rRNA from 1 species
CGUAGGGUGGCGAGCGUUAAUCGGAAUUACUGGGCGUAAAGCGUGCGCAGGCGGUUAUGCAAGACAGAUGUGAGAUCCCCGGGCUCAACCUGGGAACUGCAUUUGUGACUGCAUAGCUAGAGUACGGUAGAGGGGGAUGGAAUUCCGCGUGUAGCAGUGAAAUGCGUAGAUAUGCGGAGGAACACCGAUGGCGAAGGCAAUCCCCCUGGACCUGUACUGACGCUCAUGCACGAAAGCGUGGGGAGCAAACAGGAUUAGAUACCCUGGUAGUCCACGCCCUAAACGACGUCAACUGGUUGUUGGGUCUUCACUGACUCAGUAACGAAGCUAACGCGUGAAGUUGACCGCCUGGGGAGUACGGCCGCAAGGUUG